UACGAAGGGGGCUAGCGUUGUUCGGAAUUACUGGGCGUAAAGGGCGCGUAGGCGGUUUUGUAAGUCGGGCGUGAAAGCCCUGGGCUUAACCCAGGAACUGCGCUCGAUACUGCGAGACUAGAGUCCGGGAGAGGAGAGUGGAAUUCCCAGUGUAGAGGUGAAAUUCGUAGAUAUUGGGAAGAACACCAGUGGCGAAGGCGGCUCUCUGGACCGGUACUGACGCUGAGGCGCGAAAGCGUGGGGAGCAAACAGG
rnacentral:rRNA from 1 species